rnacentral:rRNA from 1 species
UACAGAGGCCUCGAGCGUUAGGCGGAAUCACUGGGCUUAAAGCGUGUGUAGGCGGACUUCUAAGUACCUUGUGAAAUCCCACGGCUCACCCGUGGAACUGCUUGGUAUACUGGUUGUCUUGAGCCUUCUAGGGGCGAGUGGAACAAAUGGUGGAGCGGUGAAAUGCGUAGAUAUCAUUUGGAACGCCAAAGGUGAAAACAACUCGCUGGGGAAGUGCUGACGCUGAGACACGAAAGCCAGGGGAGCGAACGGG